rnacentral:rRNA from 1 species
UACGUAGGGUGCAAGCGUUGUCCGGAAUUAUUGGGCGUAAAGAGCUCGUAGGCGGUUUGUCGCGUCUGCUGUGAAAACUGGAGGCUCAACCUCCAGCCUGCAGUGGGGUACGGGCAGACUAGAGUGCGGUAGGGGAGAUUGGAAUUCCUGGUGUAGCGGUGGAAUGCGCAGAUAUCAGGAGGAACACCGAUGGCGAAGGCAGAUCUCUGGGCCGUAACUGACGCUGAGGAGCGAAAGCAUGGGGAGCGAACAGG